AGUCAUGUGCUGCAACUAUUAAUUUAAAAAAUUAUUACAUUUUAUGUGUAUGCAUUUCUCGUUAUUUAAAAUAUUGAUUUUUUGUUACAACAUUGUAAUUUUAGUAUCUUAUACCUUUUGUGCUACACCUAAACAACUCUUUUUAAUGUGCACAAAUUUCUCAUUGAUUGCAAUAUUGAUUUUUAUAAUAUAUUUUUUACCUUUAGUUCUUUAUACGUGUGGCUACGCCUGUUCCAUUUGUACCACCUUUAAACGGUAAAUUUAUAAAUCUGGAAUGUCUCUGAUUUUUUACUGAGUUCCUCUUAUUCCUAUUUAUAUCAUCUAUUUAAUACUUUUGUGUUUUGUUAUCUCUCCAAGUGCUAUAAAAGGAGAAUCAGAAGCUUAUACAUGUUUGAGUUUUUAUUCUGAUUAACUUUUAUUAAAAAUUUCAUUGAUUCAUUAAUCAUUCUUUAUAUAUAUUCAGACAAACUGUCUUGGUAAGUAUUUAUUUUAAUUUUUUUAAUUUUUAAUUACAUGAAUUACAAAUACAUUAAUAUUUUAUUUGUUUUUAGAGCUUACAUAUGAAGCUUAUAGGUCAUUUCGAUCUUAAAACUAAAAUCAUUUACUAAAAGCCAAGACAUAGAGUAAUUACUAUGUUUUAAAACAUUUUAUUAUUAUUUUUUUUUUAUUAGGUUGGUGGGUUAAAUAUAAUCAUUUAAAUGAGAAAAUGUAUACUAGUGCAACUUGUAAUCUGGGUGUUAUAACAUCACAACCAUAUCUAUGGUCAACUCUAAGAUCACCUUAUUUUGUUUGGCAGUGUUUUGGAAUCAAGUUAUGGCAAUAUUUUGUGUGUAAAAUAUAACAAUUACAUUUAAAAAGUGCUUAUUUCUGACAAAAACUUGUAUUUUCUUAAGGGUUAGAUGGUGUUUCAUUACCCCCUCUGGCUCCCAAGAUACACCCUACAUCCAGGCACCAAAAUAAACUUGUAGCCCAUUAGUGCACCUAUCUUGUGAUACCAAGAUAUAGGUAUUUGGAUAAAAAUUGACAAAGUUAUAACAAUUUAAGU